rnacentral:rRNA from 1 species
UAGACUUUGAUCCUGGCUCAGAACGAACGUUGGCGGCGUGGAUUAGGCAUGCUAGUCGAACGCGAAAGGGUAGCAAUACCCGAGUAAAGUGGCGAACGGGUGAGUAACGCGUAGGAAACCUGCCUUCGAGAUGGGGAUAACACUCCUAACGGGGUGCUAAUACCGAAUGACACUGCGAAGUCGCGUGGCUGUGCAGUCAAAGGUGGCCUCUGCUCGCAAGCUACCACUCGAAGAUGGUCCUGCGUCCCAUUAGCUAGUUGGUGGGGUAACGGCUCACCAAGGCAACGAUGGGUAGCCGAUCUGAGAGGAUGACCGGCCACACUGGGACUGAGAUACGGGCCAUACUCCUACGGGAGGCAGCAGUCGAGAGGCUUCGGCAAUGGGGGAAACCCUGACCGAGCGACGCCGCGUGGAGGAUGAAGGCCUUUGG